UUGUGAUAUCCGGCGUAUAGCCUUCAGGACACAUGGAGCACAUUAGAAUACGACAAUAUAUAUACCUCUUUGUUUUAGCUAUAGCUUUUACAAAUAUUCAUUUUUACCAAACUUCUAUACCUGCACCUAAAACUAUGAAGGAAAGAGAAAAAUAUAAAUCAACUCCUUCCAGCACACAUAUAUACAAACAUAAAGUUACUACCACAGACAAAACGCCGGAUAUCACAAAGAAAGAGAACCUAGUUUUUCCCUUUUUACUCUUCCUUCACAAGCACCAUAAAUCCUUUAUACGGAUGUAGUUCUUGAGCUACUAAAGAUGGGAACUCCAGCAGAUAAAUUGAAGAGGAGAACACUACAACCAAGGAAAGAGAGUACUAGUUUCUGGAAGAUGGAAGUAAGUACUAAAGCCAGUCAGUAUCCAGAGCCUCUGCGAUGUAAACGCCCUGGAAGCUUCAUUCUUCGCAACCAUAGCCUCCACCACAUCUCCACAGUCCAGUCCAGCGUUUCUC
rnacentral:misc_RNA from 1 species